AUCUGAGAAGCUGCCUGACCAAGUUGCCUAUCAAGAUGAACAUUCCAUCUCUGGAUUCUGCUUGCGUGGAAUUUAUUUCACCAUAUAUUUUUCAAUGCAGCUAGAAAGUACUGGCUUUCUAUCUUGAAUCCGGUGGCCCCAGAAGCAAGUGCUGGCAAGCAGGCCAUGCGCUUUUGGUCAUUAAUUAAUCCGCGUUUAACCUGUUUGUAUACAGCGAGAACAUGUAAUGAAUAAUUUCAUACAUGUGCGUGGCUGGGGGCCGAUCAUUUUUGUAAUAAAGCUUUAUCAGUUGUAUAAAUAAAAAAGUAACAUUGGUAUGACAUUGUGAGUUUCACUGGUGUGCUUUACCUAGUGCUUACUGAACUCACUAUUUUUCAUUUAUCCAUUGCAGGAUUUGUAAUGAUGCAUAAUGAUCAAAAUGCGGAUUUACGGUUUUGUUAGCACAGUUUUCGCAUUUUGAUGAGCGCUAGAACUAUAUAUAAAAGUUGACAGUCACUUUAGCGAACACUGAAGAGGAUGAAGGCAGAAGCCUGCGCACUCACGAAGCAUUAAUUAAAUUAUUUGUCAUUCUCAUUCGCAUGCGUUGUUACUUCUAUUGUUUUCUCCUACCAAAGUUGUGGGCUCGAGUGCCUUAAUUAACUUCGUCAUAAUUAACACCAAUGGUUGCGGGCUCUACUCCCACCAAAGGUCGAGGGUUUGAGUGCCUUAAUUGUAUCUUAAUUAACUUUGCCUUAAUUAACACCAAAAGUCGUGGGUUUGACUUCCACCAAAGGUCGAGUGUUCGAGUGCCUUAAUUAACUCUGCCCUAAUUAACUUGCCUUAAGUAACUUCGCUCUAAUGAACACCCAAGGUAGUGGGUUCGACUCUACCUUCACCAUGUCAAUUGGAAUCCAACUUGGAGAUAAUUUGGAGAUGUGGCCGAUUCGCCCAUCUCUCCAAGUGGUUUUGACUCCCAACAAAGGCCGUGGGUUAGAGUGCCUCAAUUAACUCUAUCUUAAUGAACUAUGCCUUAAUUUGCUUCGACCUAAUUAACACCAAAGGUCGAAGGUUCAAUCCCCAAUUUUGGUGCCAUUAAAUUUUGGUGCUGCAACGCUGGACAUCGGAUUUUUCGACCAUUGAGCCAUCUAAGGAUUUCACCUUAAGUGUUGCAAUUUAUAUUUUCACAUUCACACGUUUACACGUUAACAAAACAUUUCAAGCAAAGUCACCAGCUACAUGCCGACAAUGGGGGUAACUGUGCCAUUAGUGUGCCUCAGCAGAUGUACCAUCGAGGACAAAUUAAAUGCGAACAGCGGAGUGUGUGGCCGAAGCAUAACUAAAGGUAUACGGUGCAUGUCGUCGGCCAGUCGUUGUGCACGUGCGUGGGGAUGUAGUUCUCGAGGAAGAGUGCAGCGCUGCUCGCCCUAUUGCGAUAAACGUCACCCGUAUUUUGUCCGAAAGUUGUUUUCUCAUCUCUCCUCGGGCAGUGCCAUACCCACCUGGCAGUACAGUGUUAUGGUGACUAGCACCAUCGCUACAUCUGUAGCGUGAUAUAGCUGGCAUGCACCCAGCUUGCUAACGUGCAUUGCUUUGCUUUUGUUACCACCAUCAAAGCUGCCAGUGUCUAAUCGUAAUUUGAAUAGCACGAAAAAUGUAUUGCAUUGGAUGCGCAACAACAGUGCUAGCCACCUUAAAAGUAAUCACAGAUAGGAAUGGCACUGCAAUGGCGGGGUGAGAAUACAAGCUUCCAACAAAAUACAGGUGACGUAAUACGCACUAGGACAAGCAGCCCCGCACUCUGCAUCGAAACCACAUGCAUGUGUACAAUCAUCGCUGGCCGACGCCACACACUGUGCUUUUAGUUACGUUUUGGCCACACACUCUGCUGUUCGCAUUUCAUUUGUAUUCAAUAGUACAUCUACUGUGGCACUCGCAGGUAUACAGCUCAUUAUAGCGUCAGCAGGAAAGAUCCACUAGAUGUUCUAUGGACCUCCUGCGUCCCCAAAAAGAACAUCUAUUAGAGGUUACUUAUGUCCAGCUGCGACAUCCUUUCAACGUUAGAGCAACGUGAUCUGGAUGGGACUUAGAUUAUCCAUGGUACGUAUUUGUAAUGUUGUUUGGAGAAAUAUAGAUAUCUAUAGGAUGUGUGCAAUGUCUCAAACAUGAUGUUCUAUGGACAUCUAUGGUACAUUAAUGGU